rnacentral:rRNA from 1 species
GAUGAACGCUAGCGGCAGGCCUAAUACAUGCAAGUCGGACGGGAUUGGGGAGCUUGCUCCCCAUGAGAGUGGCGCACGGGUGCGUAACACGUAUGUAACCUACCCUUGUCAGGGGGAUAGCCUCUCGAAAGAGAGAUUAACACCGCAUAACAUUAUUGGAUGGCAUCAUUUAAUAAUCAAAUAUUUAUAGGACAAGGAUGGGCAUGCGGGACAUUAGCUAGUUGGUAGGGUAACGGCUUACCAAGGCUACGAUGUCUAGGGGAUCUGAGAGGAUGGCCCCCCACACUGUGACUGAGACACGGACCAGACUCCUACGGGAGGCAGCAGUAAGGAAUAUUGGUCAAUGGGCGCAAGCCUGAACCAGCCAUGCCGCGUGCAGGAAGACGGCCCUACGGGUUGUAAACUGCUUUUGCGCCGGAAUAAACCCUUUUACGAGUAAGAGGCUGAAUGUACGGCGAGAAUAAGGAUCGGCUAACUCCGUGCCAGCCGCCGCCGUAAUAC